rnacentral:tRNA from 4 species
GCCGGGGUGGCCGAGCUGGUCCAAGGCGCGGGCCUGCUAAGUCCGUCCCCGCAAGGGGGCGUGGGUUCAGGCCGAGCCGCCCAGAAAUCCCACCCCCGGCGCCA